GACGAACGCUGACGGCGUGCUUAACACAUGCAAGUCGAACGGAAAGGCCCUGCUUUUGUGGGGUGCUCGAGUGGCGAACGGGUGAGUAACACGUGAGUAACCUGCCCUUGACUUUGGGAUAACUUCAGGAAACUGGGGCUAAUACCGGAUAGGAGCUCCUGCUGCAUGGUGGGGGUUGGAAAGUUUCGGCGGUUGGGGAUGGACUCGCGGCUUAUCAGCUUGUUGGUGGGGUAGUGGCUUACCAAGGCUUUGACGGGUAGCCGGCCUGAGAGGGUGACCGGCCACAUUGGGACUGAGAUACGGCCCAGACUCCUACGGGAGGCAGCAGUGGGGAAUAUUGCACAAUGGGCGGAAGCCUGAUGCAGCAACGCCGCAUGCGGGAUGACGGCCUUCGGGUUGUAAACCGCUUUCGCCUGUGACGAAGCGUGAGUGACGGUAAUGGGUAAAGAAGCACCGGCUAACUACGUG
rnacentral:rRNA from 1 species